rnacentral:rRNA from 1 species
CGACGUGAAGUCCUUCGGGGCGAGUAAAGUGGCGCACGGGUGAGUAACGCGUGGAUAAUCUACCCUUAAGAUGGGGAUAACGGCUGGAAACGGUCGCUAAUACCGAAUACGCUCCCGAUUUUAUCAUUGGGGGGAAAGAUGGCCUCUGCUUGCAAGCUAUCGCUUAAGGAUGAGUCCGCGUCCCAUUAGCUAGUUGGCGGGGUAACAGCCCACCAAGGCGACGAUGGGUAGCCGGUCUGAGAGGAUGACCGGCCACACUGGAACUGGAACACGGUCCAGACUCCUACGGGAGGCAGCAGUGGGGAAUAUUGCGCAAUGGGCGAAAGCCUGACGCAGCGACGCCGCGUGAGGGAUGAAGGUUCUCGGAUCGUAAACCUCUGUCAGGGGGGAAGAAACCCCCUCGUGUGAAUAAUGCGAGGGCUUGACGGUACCCCCAAAGGAAGCACCGGCUAACUCCGUGCCAGCAGCCGCGGUAAUACGGAGGGUGCAAGCGUUAAUCGGAAUCACUGGGCGUAAAGCGCACGUAGGCGGCUUGGUAAGUCAGGGGUGAAAUCCCACAGCCCAACUGUGGAACUGCCUUUGAUACUGCCAGGCUUGAGUACCGGAGAGGGUGGCGGAAUUCCAGGUGUAGGAGUGAAAUCCGUAGAUAUCUGGAGGAACACCGGUGGCGAAGGCGGCCACCUGGACGGUAACUGACGCUGAGGUGCGAAAGCGUGGGUAGCAAACAGGAUUAGAUACCCUGGUAGUC